UACAGAGGUCUCAAGCGUUAAUCGGAAUCACUGGGCUUAAAGGGUGCGUAGGCGGACUCGCAAGUGCCUUGUGAAAUCCCACGGCUCAACCGUGGAAUUGCUCGGUAGACUGCGGGUCUUGAGGUCGGUAGGGGCUGCCGGAACAGUAGGUGGAGCGGUGAAAUGCGUAGAUAUCUACUGGAACGCCCAAGGCGAAGGCAGGCAGCUGGGCCGAUUCUGACGCUGAGGCACGAAAGCGUGGGGAGCAAACGGG
rnacentral:rRNA from 1 species